rnacentral:rRNA from 1 species
UACGGGGGGGGCAAGCGUUGUUCGGAAUUACUGGGCGUAAAGGGCUCGUAGGCGGCCAACUAAGUCGGAUGUGAAGUCCCCAGGCUCAACCUGGGAACUGCAUCCGAUACUGGAUGGCUUGAAUUCGGGAGAGGGAUGCAGAAUUCCAGGUGUAGCGGUGAAAUGCGUAGAUAUCAGGAGGAACACCGGUGGUGUAGACGGCUUACUGGACCGCGACUGACGCUGAGGCACGAAAGCGUGGGUAGCGAACAGG